CGGAGGAUCCAAGCGUUAUCCGGAAUCAUUGGGUUUAAAGGGUCCGUAGGCGGUUUGGUAAGUCAGUGGUGAAAGCCCAUCGCUCAACGGUGGAACGGCCAUUGAUACUGCCAGACUUGAAUUAUUAGGAAGCAACUAGAAUAUGUAGUGUAGCGGUGAAAUGCUUAGAGAUUACAUGGAAUACCAAUUGCGAAGGCAGGUUGCUACUAAUGGAUUGACGCUGAUGGACGAAAGCGUGGGUAGCGAACAGGAUUAGAUACCCUGGUAGUCCACGCCGUAAACGAUGGAUACUAGCUGUUGGGAGCGAUCUCAGUGGCUAAGCGAAGGUGAUAAGUAUCCCACUGGGGAUACGUUCGCAAGAAUG
rnacentral:rRNA from 1 species